AUGUGCUCCCUAGUGAAAUAAGAGCCUCCCCAUCUCUGACAGCUUUUUAAAAGUCUUUAAAAACACAUUUCUUCACCCAGGCUUUUAAUUAAUGUUGUUUUAAUGGUUUUAAUGCAGUUUUAAAAUAUUAUUUUAACAUUUUAAAAUUGUUAUAAGGUGCGUGUCCCCUCUCACCCCCAUUUUUGUCUUGAUGAAUGUUUUGCUUUGUUUUUAUUCUGUUGUAAACCACCCAGAGAGAGAGAGAGAGAGAGAGAGAGAGAUGCUUUUGGUCCAACUUUCAUGAAAUUAUUCAAAAUCAAACUUACAAGCAUGAAUAACAAAUGAACUACAAUCUAGACAGAGCCGCACUGGAUUUGUCUGAUUUCAGACUGAUGGAGGAAAAGGGGUUCAACAAUAAUGACCAGGACGUACGUGGUACAUCUCGUGGUACAUGGCACAUCUCGUGUGAGCUCUGACAACAGACACGGAGGAGGGCUGAGCAGCGGACAGCUACUGCUGAGGCGACAACGGCGAGGAGAGAAAAGGCACAGAGGAGGGCUGAGCGGUGGACCCAAGGGCAGCUGCUGCUGCACUCGAAACUGAGGGCAGUGGGGGGCGGGCUGUGGUCACUGCUUCCUCCCCUCCCUCUGGCUGCCUCGCCAUUGGAGCCAAGGAGUGCUUCAUCCAGCCCGCCAGGAAGUGCUCCAGGAAGAGCAGUGGUAUUGCAACGGCAGCAGCCUAGCCCAGCUCCAACUGCUGGCCUCCGUUGCAUUGCACCACCAAAUCUCCUCACAAGGAGGAUAGCCAAGCCAGGGCUUCCCAUCCAGCCUGCAUGGAUGGCCAGGCUCACCCUCGCAGACCUUUCUCCCUCCGGCCUAAGGCAGGAGAGGAAGGUGGGGCAGGGGGCCGGAUCGGCUGGUGAGGGGCCAGAAAGAACUAGCGCACAUAGUGGUGGAGACGUGGCCGGCAGGGCGCGGGAGAGGGGAGACUGAGGUAGGAUGGCAGCGGAGGCGGUGAAACCUCCUUCCUUGGGCCCUCCUGCUGUCCAAAUGACAGUUCGGCCCAUUUUUUCCCCCCAUUUUGGGGCUCUCUGUGCAGCGCAUAAGGAAAGAGGUUUUGCCACCUCCGCUGCCAUCCUGGAUGGCAGGGGGCAGCUUAAGCCAGGGAGGGAGAGGCGGGGCAGGCAGCUGGAUCAGCCAGGGGGAGAGGUGAGAGACAGGGAGAACUAGCGUGCAGAUGUUCUGUGCCGGGCCAGCUAGUGGUUAUUUAAUCUCUUUACUGGUUGUGAGAUGCUGAUGUUAAUUUUUAUUUAUUUAUUUUGUGAUGUAUUUUAAUCUUUGUGAGUCACCUUGCAGUUUCAUAUGAUAAGAUGAUAUAUAAAUAAUAUUCUGUGUGUAUAUUUCUUCCCGA